CCUACGGGAGGCAGCAGUGGGGAAUUUUGGACAAUGGGCGCAAGCCUGAUCCAGCAAUGCCGCGUGAGUGAAGAAGGCCUUCGGGUUGUAAAGCUCUUUUGUCAGGGAAGAAACGGUGGAGGUUAAUACCUUCUGCUAAUGACGGUACCUGAAGAAUAAGCACCGGCUAACUACGUGCCAGCAGCCGCGGUAAUACGUAGGGUGCAAGCGUUAAUCGGAAUUACUGGGCGUAAAGCGUGCGCAGGCGGUUGUGCAAGACAGAUGUGAAAUCCCCGGGCUCAACCUGGGAAUUGCAUUUGUGACUGUACGGCUAGAGUGUGUCAGAGGGGGGGUAGAAUUCCACGUGUAGCAGUGAAAUGCGUAGAGAUGUGGAGGAAUACCGAUGGCGAAGGCAGCCCCCUGGGAUAACACUGACGCUCAUGCACGAAAGCGUGGGGAGCAAACAGGAUUAGAUACCCUGGUAGUCCACGCCCUAAACGAUGUCUACUAGUUGUCGGGUCUUUAUUGACUUGGUAACGCNGCGUACGCGNGAGAGACCGCCGNGGGUAAGGUACGGUCGCGAGAGUUAAACGUUACAANAGAGUUGNGGNGNGAGAGNGCGACGGACGACGACGAGGGAGGAGG
rnacentral:rRNA from 1 species